rnacentral:lncRNA from 1 species
AGUGUUCAGAAUAGCCAAGCAAUUUGCAGAGGGGAGCCUGCAGAGAUCAAGUGAUUUUCCUGUGGGAUUCUGUUUGUAUGGAUUUCUGCUCUUAAACUGGUCUGCAGAGAUGCAAGCAUCAUAAUAAACUGAAAACAAAGAUAUACAGGGGGUGCAGAAUCUAAGACCCUAGAUCUGAAAGUUGUGCCUUCCCAUAUCAGAAAGUAAAGACUACAUCAUCUGGAUCCUGUCUCCCACCUUACUGGGUAGCAUUGGUUGAAUGUGUACCAGGAUAUGAAGAGCAUGUGAUGUUGAUACAGAGCACAUGUUGUCAUGUAACCAAGUCCUGCAUGGAACACUGAUGAAUUUCUUCUUCAUUGCAUCCCCACACAAACCCACAGAAUCCAAUCAUUUUGUUAUAUAAAAAUUUGGGAAAUGAGGUAUUCCAGUACAUGCAAACAUGCAAACAUGUAAAAAUAAAAACAAUAAUAACAAUAAUAACUUAAUGAAUAGAGGAGUAAUACUACUUGAUUGUAAAAUUUUGUACUUUAGAUUAUAUGAGAGCACUGAUUAGACAUUAUUUUAUCCAUUAAAUUCUUGUCUUUGGUUUAUAAAUUUUUUCUCCUU